UACGUAGGGUGCGAGCGUUAAUCGGAAUUACUGGGCGUAAAGCGUGCGCAGGCGGUUCGUUGUGUCGGCGGUGAAAGCCCCGGGCUUAACCUGGGAAUGGCCGUUGAAACUGGCGAACUGGAGUGUGGCAGAGGGGGGUGGAAUUCCGCGUGUAGCAGUGAAAUGCGUAGAUAUCGGGAAGAACACCAGUGGCGAAGGCGGCUGCCUGGCCUGUAACUGACGCUGAGACGCGAAAGCGUGGGGAGCGAACCGG
rnacentral:rRNA from 1 species